rnacentral:lncRNA from 1 species
CAUCAGCAACUCAACUGCAUGUUUCGGGUGCAAAUCUUGCUGCUACGACCAAGUCGAAAGGAAUAAGCAUACAAGAAUAGUGCACCAUCACUAACAUGAGUUCCUCGUCAGCCUAGUUUCUGAUGCAGGCAAGGCAGCUAAGUUGUCGACAGCAGGAGAGACAACACAAUGAAAGAACUUGUCCGGAGGCUGGGUACAUAACUGAAGAGAACACACGUUAUGGUUUGGGUGUUGAUUAUCAUUCGUGCCGUUUUAGAAACCAGCAUUGAUCAAGGGGAGUCAUCAACAACAGGGUAGAAUCGGCACUUUGUCUCAUCAAUGCCUACAGUCUCAACUUGUCUAGAUCUCUUGUUACAUUUGUUCUCCUAAUUAUCAACUCACCUGGACUUAAAUCUUCUUUGGCUAUUGAUAUCAUUUUCCUUUCAACCCUUACCUGCUAAGAUUUGGAGCAUCUAAAUUGUAUCAAAUUAAAAAGUUUUCAAGUACAUAAUUUUGGAUGUCCUCCAAAGCUACAAGUUUUGAUAUAAA